rnacentral:ncRNA from 2 species
CGUUUCCACAGGGGGAGCUGUUGCUGAGAGUGAAUAGCAAUCGUAAAGAGAGCUAUUCAGACCCUUUGAACCUGUCUAGUUAAUACUAGCGUAGGGAUUGUGGAAGAGAGGUAGG